AUCAAACUAAGCUAAGCAAAAAAUACCUUAACUUAAACCACUUAGGAUAACAAGAUAGCUUCGUUAAAACACCUCGAUUACCUAGAUCUUAGAUUUCAACCAGAAAAGAAAUAUAGAGUAUUAAAAGACAACUCUACUAUAAGGUGUAAUUUCAACCAGGGUAAACAUAUUUUACAUUCAGAAGAUAAAUAUAGAGAUUGUGUCUUCAUCUUUUCUUUCAAAGACUGAUUUGUUAUUUCUAUAUCCUAAAUUAUCAUUUCUCUCUAAGCAGUUUUUAAAAUGUUCUACACAUUCUUCGAUUUUCAUGUCGUCCUUUUGACAUCCUUUACAUUUAAAAGUUAUAUAUUUAUAUUCUUCCGCUAAAUUUUCAGCCUUUUCUAUGGCCAUGUCUACUUCAUAUCCUUCUUGUAGGACUUCUAUAUUCAUAAACUCGCUUUCUGUUUCGAUAUUACUUUCUGUUUCAUCAUCGUCUAAAUUUCUUUUAGUUGUGUAAUUAUAAUCUGUAAACCUGACCGAAGUUUCUCCUUUACUUGUAGUAUAUAAUAGAUGANNN
rnacentral:lncRNA from 1 species